rnacentral:rRNA from 1 species
CCUACGGGAGGCAGCAGUGGGGAAUAUUGCACAAUGGGCGAAACCCUGACGCAGCAAUGCCGCGUGAGUGAAGAAGUCUUUCGGUUUGUAAAGCUCUGUGACAAGGGAAGAAAAGGAGGCUGUACCCUUAAAACACGCCACCGCAAACUACGUACGAGCAGGCGCGGUAAUGCGUAGGGGGCAAGCGAUGUCCGUAUUUAGUGGGUGUAAAGGGCGUGUACACGGCAGGGAAAGUCGUGAGUGAAAGGUGGAGGCUCAACCACCGGACUGCUCUGGAAACUGCUAGGCUGGAGUGCAGGAGAGGGAAGUGGAAUUCCUAGUGUAGCGGUGAAAUGCGUCGAUAUGAGGCGGAACACGAGUGGCGAAGGCGGCUUACUGGACUGUAACUGACGUUGAGUCUCGAAAGCGUGGGGAGCAAACAGGAUUAGAUACCCGAGUAGUC